rnacentral:tRNA from 1 species
UCUAAAUUGGCAGAAAUAGAUGCAAUAGGUUUAGAGCCUUUUUAUAAAAGUAAUUUUUAUUUAGAA